UUGGAUGAGCCCGCGGCUUAUCAGCUUGUUGGUGAGGUAAUGGCUCACCAAGGCUUCGACGGGUAGCCGGCCUGAGAGGGUGACCGGCCACACUGGGACUGAGACACGGCCCAGACUCCUACGGGAGGCAGCAGUGGGGAAUAUUGGACAAUGGGCGGAAGCCUGAUCCAGCAACGCCGCGUGAGGGAUGACGGCCUUCGGGUUGUAAACCUCUUUCAGCACAGACGAAGCGCAAGUGACGGUAUGCAUAUGAGUUCCCACGC
rnacentral:rRNA from 1 species